rnacentral:rRNA from 1 species
UACGAGAGGCGCAAACGUUAUUCGGAAUUACUGGGCUUAAAGAGUUCGUAGGCGGCGCAGAAAGUAGGGUGUGAAAGCCCUCGGCUCAACCGAGGAAUUGCGCUCUAAACUACUGUGCUUGAGGGACCUAGAGGUGAGCGGAACUGAUGGUGGAGCGGUGAAAUGCGUUGAUAUCAUCAGGAACACCGGAGGCGAAGGCGGCUCACUGGACCGGAACUGACGCUGAGGCGCGAAAGCGUGGGGAGCAAACGGG